rnacentral:tRNA from 1 species
GCCUGGCUGGCUCAGUUCGAAGAGCAUGAGACUCUUAAUCUUGGGUUGUGAGUUCAAGCCCCAUGCUGGGCA